rnacentral:rRNA from 1 species
CCGGCGACCGGCGCACGGGUGAGUAACACGUAUGCAACCUGCCCGUCUCAGGGGAUAAUCGUCGGAAACGGCGUCUAAUACCCCGUAUGAAGCUGGACGGCAUCGUCUGGUUUUGAAAGAAUAUCGGAGACGGAUGGGCAUGCGGCGCAUUAGCUAGUUGGCGGGGUAACGGCCCACCAAGGCGACGAUGCGUAGGGGUUCUGAGAGGAAGGUCCCCCACACUGGUACUGAGACACGGACCAGACUCCUACGGAAGGCAGCAG